AUGGAACUAGUUGACAUUUGGGCGCCCAUCUUGGCCGAUCCUCUUCCAAGCCAACAGGCGGAGAUUAAAAUUCAGUCAACAUAUGUAGAUUAUGGCACCAUGGACUUUCAAGCACUCUUAGAAGGACCCCAUGAUUUGGAUAGAUGGCUGAAAGGCGCAUUCAUUCCUACGUACAUAAAGGAGGCGGAUUUAACUCAUGAGAUUGAAUGUAACAUUUGUUCACCAACUAGUGAUCAUGGCAUGAAAAUACAAACACCUAUGCCCGCUCCACCGGAGGCGUUGCCUGAGAAAGAGGAGGCCCCUGUCACCACGACUCUCAACGGUGGAGGAGGAGAAGAGGAGGAGACGAGAGAGGGAGGAGGGGCCAUGUACCCGCCGCCUUGUCAGCAAAGAAGCAGGAGGCUUGCGGCCACCGCCACACCGCCGGUGGAGGGGGCAUGCGAUCUACUAGAUUACGUACCAAAAAGUGGUUGGAGGCAUGGAAGUCGUGUGAGAAGUGCACGGGGGAGAGGAACAUGGUCGAUAAACAUGGAACCAUGCCAAAAACAUGGGCCCAGAAGAAACAAUGACCAUUGGACAUCUGAAGAGGUGAAAGAACUAGUGGAUGGCAUAUCUGCAUAUGGGGCUAGCCAAUGGGCUAAGUUGAAGAACGAAAAGUUUCCAAUAUCAGUUCGAACGGCGGAGCAUCUUAAGGAUAAGUGGAGAAACCUAGUGAAAGCCUUCACGGUCGGGCCCACAUCUAAAAAUCAAGAUUUUAUAUCAUAA
rnacentral:rRNA from 1 species